CUCAAGCAAGCAGAACCAGAGGGAGGUACAGAAGAGAAGCAUCAGAGAUGGGAAAUUUCGGGACUACCAGGAGGGCAAGCCUGAGAUAGAAAGGUGGAAAACACAGCAGACCCCUCCCAGCAUCCAGGAUAACAAGUGAGCAGAAGUGCUUCUGGCAUGGAACAGAACUGGGUUUGUCUGUGGAAGCUGUGAGUAAGUUGAUGUACUUGGAGACCAUCCAUCCAACUUUCCAUAGUUUGUCUUGAGAUCAUGAUGCGGAAUUCUAGGGAUGGCUAUGACAGCAUGGCUGAAAUUAGUCUGUAUACAUUGCAGCAAUUCUAAGUGAUGGUUUGAGCGUUUGGUUGCCAUCACGAAAGCCAAAGUGGAUUUCUCCGGCGUUGUGUGCCUGCCCCCUUCCGUCAUUGCUGGCAAUGGGCUGGA